UGCCUACGGGGCGCAGCAGUGAGGAAUAUUGGUCAAUGGUCGGGAGACUGAACCAGCCAAGCCGCGUGAGGGAUGAAGGUACAGAGUAUCGUAAACCUCUUUUGUCAGGGAACAAAGGCGGGGACGCGUCCCCGGAUGAGUGUACCUGAAGAAAAAGCAUCGGCUAACUCCGUGCCAGCAGCCGCGGUAAUGCGGAGGAUGCGAGCGUUAUCCGGAUUUACUGGGUGUAAAGGGAGCGUAGACGGCUAAUCAAGUCAGAAGUGAAAACCCAGGGCUCAACCUUGGGA
rnacentral:rRNA from 1 species